rnacentral:rRNA from 1 species
GGCGGUUUGAUAAGUCGGGUGUGAAACCUCCAGGCUCAACCUGGAGCCGCCACUCGAUACUGUCAUGACUAGAAUUCGGUAGGGGACCACGGAAUUCCUGGUGUAGCGGUGAAAUGCGCAGAUAUCAGGAGGAACACCAGCAGCGAAGGCGGUGGUCUGGGCCGACAUUGACGCUGAGGAGCGAAAGCGUGGGGAGCGAACAGGAUUAGAUACCCUGGUAGUCCACGCCGUAAACGUUGGGCACUAGGUGUGGGGACUAUUCAACGGUUUCCGUGCCGCAG